GUUUGAUCCUGGCUCAGAGCGAACGUUAGCGGCAGGCUUAACACAUGCAAGUCGAGCGACAAAGGGGCUUCGGCCCUGAGUAGAGCGGCGGACGGGUGCGUAACACGUGGAUAAUCUGCCUCGUGGCGGGGGAUAACAGUCCGAAAGGACUGCUAAUACCGCAUGUCAGGUCGGAAACCCCGGUUUCUGACGAAAAAGAGGGCGCCCGCAAGGGGCUCUCACCACGAGAUGAGUCCGCGGCCCAUCAGCUAGUUGGCGGUGUAAUAGACCACCAAGGCUAAGACGGGUAGCUGGUCUGAGAGGAUGACCAGCCACACUGGGACUGAGACACGGCCCAGACUCCUACGGGAGGCAGCAGUGGGGAAUAUUGGACAAUGGGCGAAAGACCUGAUCCAGCCAUGCCGCGUGAGUGAUGAAGGUCUUCGGAUCGUAAAGCUCU
rnacentral:rRNA from 1 species